AGAGUUUGAUCAUGGCUCAGGAUGAACGCUAGCGGCAGGCUUAAUACAUGCAAGUCGAGGGGGAUUAAUUGUCUAGCAAUAGAUGGUUAUGAGACCGGCAAACGGGUGCGGAACACGUACGCAACCUUCCCAAAACUGGUGAAUAGCCCUCCGAAAGGAGGAUUAAUACACCGUAACUUAAUGAAGUGGCAUCACUUUAUUAAUAUAGCUCCGGCGGUUUUGGAUGGGCGUGCGCCUGAUUAGGUAGUUGGCGGGGUAACGGCCCACCAAGCCUACGAUCAGUAACUGGUGUGAGAGCACGACCAGUCACACGGGCACUGAGACACGGGCCCGACUCCUACGGGAGGCAGCAGUAAGGAAUAUUGGUCAAUGGACGCAAGUCUGAACCAGCCAUGCCGCGUGAAGGAUGACGGCCCUCUGGGUUGUAAACUUCUUUUAUCUGGGACGAAAAAAGGUCAUUCUUGAUCACUUGACGGUACCAGAGGAAUAAGCACCGGCUAACUCCGUGCCAGCAGCCGCGGUAAUACGGAGGGUGCAAGCGUUAUCCGGAUUUACUGGGUUUAAAGGGUGCGUAGGUGGGUCUGUAAGUCAGUGGUGAAAUCUCCGAGCUUAACUCGGAAACUGCCAUUGAUACUAUAGGUCUUGAAUUAUCUGGAGGUGAGCGGAAUAUGUCAUGUAGCGGUGAAAUGCUUAGAUAUGACAUAGAACACCAAUUGCGAAGGCAGCUCACUACGGAUCGAUUGACACUGAG
rnacentral:rRNA from 1 species